rnacentral:lncRNA from 1 species
GGAUCCCCCGUUCCCCACCCCCCAAGCCCACCCCUUCCCAACCGAGCGGGUCCUCAGACCUUUGCUGGAGAGAUAAACGGGGCUAGAACAUUCCUAAACAAAAGUCGACCUGUGUGUAAAUAGUGCACACCCACAAAAGCAAACAACCUCUUUGGGCUAACACCUUUUCUGUCUCUCAGAAGAGGCUUAAUCCCUCUGUGGAAUUCCCAUCAGCACCUGGGUUGGUACCAGAGUCAGGGUCAUGCAGAUACACUCUGUGUGUCUCUCAGGACGGCAAGGGCAAGGGCUUGUCUUCUCACUGUGUGCCCCACAUUAAAAAAAAAAAAAAAUCACAGAAACA